rnacentral:lncRNA from 1 species
UACAGACUUUUUUUAUAAACUAACGCCGUAGAAUUUUAAAAUUUGUGAAUAACUCUCUCUAAAUUAUAUUUGUAAAACUAAUCCUCCUUUCAUCAUAUAAGCAGAGAAAAAAUUUUUAUUAUAAAAGCGGUAAAUCCGCCUUCCGCCUUCUCACCGUUAAUAUAAUUAGUAAAGACGGUGAAUGGUUGUCACGUCCCGGAUUACACAAUUUCCGGGCACGUCAACAAGUUCGCCGUAUAUAAAGAAUUUUUCCUAUAUACGAAGCGUAUCGGUAACUGAAAAUAUACAAUACUACAACCAGUAGUAUAGAGCUAUAAAGAAACGAAACAGAUAGAAUAAAACAAGUCUCACAUAUAUACAACAAAACGCUAUACAAAGGUACUCGCUUCAGCGAGUUAUAACAACUGUAUGUACAUGAACUCAACAAAAUAAACCGAAACUAGCUGCAGUGGUGGAUUCUCUAUCUCAGCAACUCGUCGGGUAGGGCUCUAACUCGUGACGCCCUUAUCUCGAUCAGCCUCGAAAAACGCAGCAGCCGGAACAGCAGGCUCUGCAAAACAUAUGGUAACAACUGGGCGUGAGAACUAUUAUAAAAACAAGUAGUCCUCAGUGGGUACCGCCCUCAAUAUCAUCGGUCCACCCACUAAGACUACAGUCAGAAACAAACUAGUAGUUAAAGCUGGAAAGAAAUCUACAGCUACCUACCACUACACUAUUCAACUGUAGUAACUGUCAAAUCUGACCUAAUCUCAAUAGGGACUGUGAACACACCCAUCCCGGGGACUGUGAACGCACCCGUCCCGCCUGUCUAAGCCACGCUACCUCCACGCAAAACAGUCCGUGGAUAGCAAAACUAGUCAGUGACAUCAACGCGAAAGCACAAAGCCAAACUCCGGAGUGGCACUCGUGGGCGCGACCCAACCGAGUAUGCAAGCGUAUCUCUGUCGAGUCCAAUCAGGCUCUCACAGGCUAAAGUCAAGAAAACAGGUCUAACAGUACUACCAACCCCUAGUCACGUGCCCUCGGCACAAUCUGAUAUUGGAACGAUCAAAUCCGGGUCCGCCGUCAACCACGACGGCACCCACUAAUCUGGAACACUGUAAACACUACUGUAAAAAUCGGCUCGGCAUCCUAGCACGAACGUAACUGAAAUCUGAACUACCUGGGAUACUCACUAUAAGGAUACUGCAACAGUAUAAAAAUACAACGACCCC